rnacentral:rRNA from 1 species
AGAACGAACGCUGGCGGCAGGCUUAACACAUGCAAGUCGAGCGCCCCGCAAGGGGAGCGGCAGACGGGUGAGUAACGCGUGGGAACAUACCCUCCGGUUCGGAAUAGCUCAGGGAAACUUGGAUUAAUACCGGAUACGGCCUAGCGGCGAAAGAUUCAUCGCCGGAGGAUUGGCCCGCGUCUGAUUAGCUAGUUGGUGGGGUAAUGGCCCACCAAGGCGACGAUCAGUAGCUGGUCUGAGAGGAUGAUCAGCCACAUUGGGACUGAGACACGGCCCAAACUCCUACGGGAGGCAGCAGUGGGGAAUAUUGGACAAUGGGCGCAAGCCUGAUCCAGCCAUGCCGCGUGAGUGAUGACGGCCUUAGGGUUGUAAAGCUCUUUCGCUAGGGACGAUAAUGACGGUACCUAGACAAGAAGCCCCGGCUAACUUCGUGCCAGCAGCCGC